rnacentral:rRNA from 1 species
UACGAAGGGGGCUAGCGUUGUUCGGAAUCACUGGGCGUAAAGGGCGCGUAGGCGGCUUUGUAAGUCGGGGGUGAAAGCCUGUGGCUCAACCACAGAAUUGCCUUCGAUACUGCAUGGCUUGAGACCGGAAGAGGUAAGUGGAACUGCGAGUGUAGAGGUGAAAUUCGUAGAUAUUCGCAAGAACACCAGUGGCGAAGGCGGCUUACUGGUCCGGAUCUUACGCUGAGGCGCGAAAGCGUGGGGAGCAAACAGG